rnacentral:rRNA from 1 species
GAUUGGAGCGGCCGAUAUCAGAUUAGGUAGUUGGUGGGGUAAAGGCUCACCAAGCCGACGAUCUGUAGCUGGUCUGAGAGGACGACCAGCCACACUGGAACUGAGACACGGUCCAGACUCCUACGGGAGGCAGCAGUGGGGAAUUUUGGACAAUGGGCGCAAGCCUGAUCCAGCCAUUCCGCGUGCAGGAUGAAGGCCUUCGGGUUGUAAACUGCUUUUGUACGGAACGAAACGGU